AGGAAAGAUGUAAUCGCGACGAGAGUUACUUGGUUCACGUGGACGACGAUGCUGAAAACACGUUUCUCGUCAACCAUGUACAAUAUAUACUUCCCAUAAACAGCUGGUGGAUCGGUCUGACGGACAAUGACACAGAGGGAGUGUUUCAGUGGGUGGACGACUAUUCCAACAUGACGUACCAACACUUCAACGCUCACCAGCCA